GCGCGGGAACCCUAACUCGCCUCGCUCCUUCACUAUUCGGUGGUUCCCUCCAGGCAGCCGAGUGGACCACGUGACCUCCCCUUGUUGAGGGAGUUACUCUUUCCCUCCGAUAGAAAGGUCGUCGUGUGUUGGGAAGGAAGUGUGUGUGUUUGUGCGGCAGAGUUUGAACAGCAGGAUGGAGGGGGCCGAGCAGCGAGACCCCCUGGAGCAAAGGAACAUGCGAUGGGGGUGGGACUGAGAGCAGGGCCUCCCCAGAAGAUCUUAACAAUCACAUCGGAUCAUAAAGGGAGAUGCGUUCAGACAGGUUGAUGGAUCUGCUUUUGCUGUUCAGAAGGAAAUAGAAGUGGUGAAGAUUUUCAGCUGGAAGCCUGGGAAAGUGUUUCUAGAUCUGAUGAGAAGGGUAGGAGAGAAGGCGACAGACACUUUCAGUGAUGCUGAAUCCUUUGAAGAUUUGGAGAUAGACAGUGAAGAGUAUUGGGAAUCGGAUGGUGAAGAUAGCAGUGUGCCCACCACCAGUACAACUUCUCCUGAGAUGAAAGUUACACCCCAGCAUGAGAAAGAGGACUGGGAUGCAGAGGUGGCAGAUACUGAAAACCGAAACAAUCCUUAUGAUUUUGAUGAUAUUAUUCACUGUGGAGAUUGCUCGGCUAAGGAUCAAGCAGCACCGUAUUCAGUUCAAGGACAUCUUUUGUAUGACCCCAGCUUACACCAUGUAGCACCACUGACUUUGAAACACAUAGAGGCUGUGUUGGUGGAUGGCCAGUUUGAUGAUGCUGUUGACUGAGAAGUAUUCAGGACUGGAAUAUCAACAACAAGACUGGUAAGCAUAGGCAUAAAAAAUGCUAAGAAGAACCACAUAUAGAAAGCCACGCAUAGCCUAAAUGUAGCACAAAUCAGAUAUUGAACCAUAAGUUACAAUUAUAGUAUUGGAAUGUUAUUAAGAUUACACAACACAACAGAUUUCUUGCAUAAUGGCAUUUUGGUGUUUUUAAAAAAGUACCUUUCAGGGACUGAGAUAUUGGGUAAUUACAAAACAUUCAUUUUAAGCAUGCAGAAUGUAAUCAUGCAAAAUUAUUUCCAAAAAAAUAAUUUGUGGGCUGGGACUUAUUUCUGCUAAGUAAUUAUAACAUUACUAGUGUUUCCCGGGUUCACAUUUUCUUUGUGUCUCUUUCUUUCUUUCCUUCCUCCCUGUCCCUCAUACACUUUCUCCCUUUCUCUUUUCUUGCUUUUAUUUUCUUCCUUCCUUCCUCUUCCCUUAUUUUGUUUCUUCUUUUCUGUUCUUUUUCUUCAUGGCUCUUUCUUUCCAAUUUAACUGCCAUGGUUCCAUCCUAAGGAACCUUGGGUUUUGCUGUUCAGGAAGGGGCCUUUGGAAUCCCCAGCCAGUAAACUUCAGGGCCUCUGAUCCAACUACAAUCCCCAAGUUUCCAUAGGAUGUUGUCAUGGCAGUUAAAGGAGAACAGGGUGCUAUAAUUGGGAUAGUGUGAAUGGGCACCUGGUAUUCUAACUUUCUUAUUAAUCAGUAUUGACUUUUCCUCAUAUUUAGAACUUAUUUUUAGAAAUAGAUUUAUAUUUAGUAUAUGUUUGUAUCAUAUUCAGGUUGUCUGCAGGAUCCCUCUUUAUUAACACUUGUGUUUAUGUUUGUUCUCAACACUGGAGCCGAAAUAUUACUUCUAAAUUGGAUUUCUUCAUGAAAACGAUCUAAGAUGCAACAGAUACCAUUUCCUACUCUGUAGGCUUUGUAUUUGAGAAGAUUGAAUGACAUAUAACAUUAUAAACUGGACUGCUGGAAGUUUAGGCAAGGAGAUAGAUGACAAUUUCUAAUUUAAGUUGUCUUAGAAAUGGUUUGGGUUUAUUUUAAAGUUAUGAAUGUGAUUAUUGCAAUUCAGAAGCUGAUCAUUAUGUUCGCCUGUAAAUCAUGCAAUGUUAUUUUUUAUUUUUAAAAAAUUGUGUUGUUGUAUAUUUUUCUGUUACAAAUUCUGCAUCAUCAUUUGUGCAGUUCAGUUUCUUGAAUGUAUUUAUUUAUUUGAAGCUGGGGCCCUCAACCAUGCUGGAGACAUAGAUCUUGGUGGGGUGACUCCUGAAUAAAACAGGCUGUGUAAUGGUU